rnacentral:lncRNA from 1 species
UUUAAUUACCCAAAUAAGGAAUCACGUCUCUUUACAAAUAUUGCUUGAAUUGUCCAAUCAAAAAAGUGCAUCUCCUUACAAAUGUCGCUUGAAUUACCCAAACAAGGAAGUGGAUCUCCUUACCAAUGCCGCUUGAAUUACCCAAAUUAGUAAGUGCGUCUCCUUACAAAUGCCGCUUGAAUUACCCAAAUCAAGAAGUUUGUCUCCUUAAAUGUUGCUUGAAUUGUCUAAACAAAGAAGUGCGUCUCCUUACAAAUGCCGCUUGAAUUACCAAACAAGGAAAUGCGUCUCCCCACAAAUGUUGCUUGAAUUACCCAACAAGGAAGUGUGUCUCCUUACAAAUGUUGCUUGAAUUACCCAAAUCAGGAAGUGCGUCUCCUUACAAAUGUUGCUUGAAUUGUCUAAACAAGGAAGUGCGUCUCCUUACAAAUGUCGCUUGAAUUACCAAAUAAGAAAUGCGUCCCAAUGCCACUUGAAUUACCAAACCAAGGAAGUGCGUCUCCUUACCAAUGUCUCUUGAAUUACCAAAAUAAGGAAGUGUGUUUCCUUAUCGAUGCCGCUUGAAUUACCCAAAUCAGAAAGUACGUCUCCUUACAAAUGCCUCUUGAAUUACCCAAAUCAGGAAGUGCGUCUCCUUACAAAUGUUGUUUGAAUUGUCCAAACAAGGAAGUGUGUAUCCUUACAAAUGUAGCUUGAAGUGCGUAUCCUAACAAAUGUCUCUUUAAUUACCCAAACAAGGAAGUGCAUCUCCUUACCAAUGUCGCUUGAAUUACCCAAAUCAGAAAGUGCGUCUCCUUACAAAUGCCGCUUGAAUUACCCAAAUCAGGAAGUACGUCUCCUUACAAAUGUUGCUUGAAUUAUCCAAACAAGGAUGUACGUCUCCUUACAAAUUUUGAUUUAAUUGUCCAAACAAGGAAGUGGGUCUCCUUACAAAUGCCGCUUGAAUUACCAAACAAGGUAGUGCCUCUCUUUACGAAUGCCUCUUUGAGAAAUUACUGCCUUUGAUGUUUAGACUUUGAAAUCAUUGAUUUGAAGGUAACAUGUGUUCCUGAAUAAUGAAUUAACUACAAGAAACAUGAUCGAUGUCACCGAAAACUCGAAUAGAAAUUUACCUCAACACUCAAUUCACAACUCUUUCUUUUCUUCAACUUGUUCUUCAGGCGAUCUCCUGGAUUUUCUUUUUUUUGAUUUUUUAAAAUAUGUUCCAUGAUUGUGAUUGCUAAACAUGUGUAGCAAUAUUGCCUCUUUCAUUUGCAAAAAUGAGGAAUUGUAUCUUUUAAUAUUUAGGCUUUGAAGUUCUUGAUUUGAAAGUAACAUGUUUUCUGUUUCAUCAAAGAAAACUUGUGAGUUCAAAAACAUGGUGGCAGGUUUGUGGCUUUGGCUUUCGUGGCAAUCACUCUUGCUCUCCAUCACCAACUUGAUGCAUCAUUAACCCAAACUCAUAUUAUUAAAAGUGACUUUGAAACAAACACAGUAUUUCUACUUUGCUAUGCUCAUCAAAUAAACCCUUUGAACCCUGGUAUUUACUUGAGUUCCCAGACUCGUCGGUUGAUAAAAC